UGACUCAGUAAGUGCUAGCUAUUAUUAUUG
rnacentral:piRNA from 1 species